ACACAUACAUAUAUAUAUACACAUACAUAUAUAUAUACAUACAUAUAUGUGUGUGUGUGUGUGUGUGUGUGUGUGUGUGUGU